rnacentral:rRNA from 1 species
CCUACGGGCGGCAGCAGUGGGGAAUAUUGGGCAAUGGGCGCAAGCCUGACCCAGCAACGCCGCGUGAAGGAAGAAGGCUUUCGGGUUGUAAACUUCUUUUAAGAGGGAAGAGCAGAAGACGGUACCUCUUGAAUAAGCCACGGCUUACUACGGGCCAGCAGCCGCGGCUAUACCGUGGUGGCAAGCGUUGUCCGGAUUUACUGGGUGUAAAGGGGGUGUAGCCGGGCUGACAAGGCAGAUGUUAAAUUCCGGGGCUCAACCCCGGACCUGCAUUUGAAACUGUUGGUCUUGAGUGUCGGAGAGGCAGGCGGAAUUCCUGGUGUAGCGGUGAAAUGCGUAGAUAUUAGGAGGAACACCGGUGGCGAAGGCGGCCUGCUGG